rnacentral:tRNA from 1 species
GCCGCCGUCGUCUAACGGUUAGGAUAACAGGCUUUCAACCUGUAGAUGGGAGUUCGAUUCUCCCUGGCGGCU